UCCGGUUUAACACCGGCAGUCUCGUCAGAGUGCCCAGCUUACCUGGUGGCAACUAACGACAAGGGUUGCGCUCGUUGCGGGACUUAACCCAACAUCUCACGACACGAGCUGACGACAGCCAUGCAGCACCUGGACACUCGGUUCCCCGAAGGGCACAUCCACAUCUCUGCGGACUUCCGAGGGGUUCUAACCCGGGUAAGGUUCUUCGCGUUGCGUCGAAUUAAACCACAUACUCCACCGCUUGUGCGGGCCCCCGUCAAUUCUUUUGAGUUUUAGCCUUGCGGCCGUACUUCCCAGGCGGGGUGCUUAAUGCGUUAGCUUCGGCGCUGCGGGGGUCAAUACCCACAACACCUAGCACCCAUCGUUUAGGGCGUGGACUAC
rnacentral:misc_RNA from 1 species